AACGCUAGCUACAGGCUUAACACAUGCAAGUCGAGGGGAAACGACAUCGAAAGCUUGCUUUUGAUGGGCGUCGACCGGCGCACGGGUGAGUAACGCGUAUCCAACCUGCCCACCACUUGGGGAUAACCUUGCGAAAGUAAGACUAAUACCCAAUGACGUCUCUAGAAGACAUCUGAAAGAGAUUAAAGAUUUAUCGGUGAUGGAUGGGGAUGCGUCUGAUUAGCUUGUUGGCGGGGUAACGGCCCACCAAGGCGACGAUCAGUAGGGGUUCUGAGAGGAAGGUCCCCCACAUUGGAACUGAGACACGGUCCAAACUCCUACGGGAGGCAGCAGUGAGGAAUAUUGGUCAAUGGACGAGAGUCUGAACCAGCCAAGUAGCGUGCAGGAUGACGGCCCUAUGGGUUGUAAACUGCUUUUAUAAGGGAAUAAAGUGAGUCUCGUGAGACUUUUUGCAUGUACCUUAUGAAUAAGGACCGGCUAAUUCCGUGCCAGCAGCCGCGGUAAUACGGAAGGUCCGGGCGUUAUCCGGAUUUAUUGGGUUUAAAGGGAGCGUAGGCCGGAGAUUAAGCGUGUUGUGAAAUGUAGACGCUCAACGUCUGCACUGCAGCGCGAACUGGUUUCCUUGAGUACGCACAAAGUGGGCGGAAUUCGUGGUGUAGCGGUGAAAUGCUUAGAUAUCACGAAGAACUCCGAUUGCGAAGGCAGCUCACUGGAGCGCAACUGACGCUGAAGCUCGAAAGUGCGGGUAUCGAACAGGAUUAGAUACCCUGGUAGUCCGCACGGUAAACGAUGGAUGCCCGCUGUUGGUCUGAAUAGGUCAGCGGCCAAGCGAAAGCAUUAAGCAUCCCACCUGGGGAGUACGCCGACAACGGUGAAAC
rnacentral:rRNA from 1 species